CUAAGCAUAUCAAUAAGCGGAGGAAAAGAAACUAACAAGGAUUCCCCUAGUAACUGCGAGUGAACCGGGAAAAGCUCAAAUUUGUAAUCUGGCGGUCCUUGUGGCCGUCCGAGUUGUAAUCUAGAGAAGUGCUAUCCGCGCUGGACCGUGUACAAGUCUUCUGGAAUGAAGCAUCAUAGAGGGUGAGAAUCCCGUCUUUGACACGGACUGCCAGGGCUAUGUGAUGCACUUUCGAUGAGUCGAGUUGUUUGGGAAUGCAGCUCUAAAUGGGUGGUAAAUUCCAUCUAAAGCUAAAUAUAGGCGAGAGACCGAUAGCGAACAAGUACCGUGAGGGAAAGAUGAAAAGAACUUUGGAAAGAGAGUUAAACAGUACGUGAAAUUGUUGAAAGGGAAACGCUUGAAGUCAGUCGCGUUGGCCGGGGAUCAACCUUGCAUUCAUUUGUGGGGCGUACUUUCUGGUUGACGGGUCAGCAUCAAUUUUGACCGUUGGAAAAAGGUUGGGGGAAUGUGGCAUCUUCGGAUGUGUUAUAGACUCUGACUGCAUACAACGGUUGGGAUUGAGGAACUCAGCACGCCGCAAGGCCGGGGGAAACCCACGUACGUGCUUAGGAUGCUGGCAUAAUGGCUUUAAUCGACCCGUCUUGAAACACGGACCAAGGAGUCUAACAUGCCCGCGAGUGUUUGGGUGGAAAACCCGAGCGCGUAAUUAAUGUGAAAGUUGAGAUCCUUGUCGUGAGGAGCAUCGACGCCCGGACCAGACCUUUUGUGACGGAUCUGCGGUAGAGCGUGUAUGUUGGGACCCGAAAGAUGGUGAACUAUGCCUGAAUAGGGUGAAGCCAGAGGAAACUCUGGUGGAGGCUCGUAGC
rnacentral:rRNA from 1 species